rnacentral:rRNA from 1 species
GGGUCAGUAGGUUGGUCGUGCCACCGGUACGUACUGGACUCACUGCUUCCUCCUUCCUGAAGAACCGUAAUGCCAUUAAUUUGGUGUUGCGGGGAAACAGGACUGUUACUUUGAAAAAAUUAGAGUGUUUAAAGCAAGCUAACGCUUGAAUACAUUAGCAUGGAAUAAUGAAAUAGGACGAUCGAUCCUAUUUUGUUGGUUUCUAGGAUUGACGUA